GCUUUCAACCCCCACCCACGCUGCAACGCACCACCAGACGGUGCCCUGCAAGCGUGCCCUCCGGCGCUCACCUAGGAAACCACCCCCGCAUGCAACCCACCUCCGCCGCCGCAACCAGAUCCGGUGCAGGGCCGCCGCCGCCUCUGACCCAUAAGAAUUGAGAUUCUCUGUCGCUGCUUGCCAUCCGGCGCGGCGGCGCGCUACACAUCGCCCUCCACGGAUCCAGGUGCGCCUGUCAGAUCCAACACCGGGAGCUGCAGCACACAGGCCCGCGCGGCUACCCUGCAGUACCGACACGUCCAACCUCGCCCACCUCAACGGCCUCCAAAAGAGCGUCCUCCACGACCGCCCUGUUACCCAGAAGCGACGACGCCGCCGGCUCUCGGAUGACUUCCCCUGCUCCAGAUAAAGUGCCUCUUUAAAUUAUGGAGCGGCAUCGCUCUAACCGUCUCCAACAUCAGGUUGGCCGUUGGUGUCUGCACCUUUUAUCCAAAAUCGUGGCAUGGUGUACAGGUUUGUUUUGCCGAGUGAUGGAGUACGAGGGAAUUUUCUUGGCGGUCAAUCUGAUUCAUUGUACUCCCGUGGUACACGUGCAUCUCAUCUCCACAAAUUGUGGCCUUGUUUCCCGGUACUCACAUCGACUUCAGAUGUAUUUGAACCACUACCAUUCCUUAUUUAUGUCUACAUGAAGUGUUGGCCACAAUGGAUACCUUCAAGAUGGGAUGCGUACUUUUAUGAGGCUACAUGUAAGUUACACAACUACUUGCAACAAAACUGUGCAUGCACUUAUUUGAUUGCUCACAUCUAUAAAUGGAGUUGAAUUAGUCGGUUAAGAUAUCAACAUGUUUUCUUUUUCUCUAAUACUAUUAUGUAUCAUUUCAUCUGAAUGCAUUUGAAACAUACGCUUGAUCUUAAUUUUUUUGACUAGGUAAGAUAUUAAUCAUAUAUUUGUCCAUCCAUCUUCUCUGGGACAAUCAAAUGUUCAUGUCCCAUGUUUUAUUGCUUCUUCGACUUGCAAGGCUACAUAGAAGGCAUUAGCAAAACCAUUAAUUGGUUAUCGACACUAAUAAUCUUUACCCUUUUGAGAUCAAGCAUAAGAGAUCUUCUGAUGUGAAUGGUUUCCUUUCUUUAUAUUUCUAGAGGACUGUAAGCCCAUUUUUAGCAAUGUAGCUAACUAAAGCUAUGAAUUAUACCACUGUGUUUGCUUCAUGAAGGUAGUCAUGAAAAAAAAAGAGCCACGAGACUUUGCCAUCAUUAUUUCUAUAACUAGCAUUUUUUCGGGAAGCAACUUUUUUUAGAGUGCAAAGUGAAUUUCUAUUAUGCAAAUGUGCAAAGUAUGACACCCAUAAAUAUGAUGCAGAGAACUUUUCGCAUGUUCUAAUUUAUUCUCGACAAUGUAUUACUAUAAAUCCCGCAGCAAUAUGACGCAGAGAACUUUUCAUAUGUUCUAAUUUAUUCACGACAAUUUAUUACAAUAAGUCCCGCAGCAAUGCGCGGGGUAUUAUCUAGUAUAUAAAGAGGUACAACACUUUCUCAACUAGCGAUAUGAGACUAAGCUUACCACCACAAUUUGCCAUUUUACUCAUGGGCUCAUUUGAGAUUUCAGAAAUUGCUAAUGGGCCAUGCCCAUUUAUUUCUAACAAUUUAUUCUCAUCUAAUUGAGAAAUGAGUAGUUUAAAAAAAAGUUCUAGAAAAAAUAUAAAUGAGAAUGAGCAAAUCCGUAUUAGUAUAGGGAAACGUUUACAAUCGACAAGCCGGCUGAAUGUUUAGCCGGACGCGCACUACGCGUAGGAUUCAUAUGG